rfam:Corchorus olitorius cultivar O-4 contig13584, whole genome shotgun sequence.
CAUGGAUAUGAUGAUAACCUUUUCUGAAAUUGUAUAAUGUAGACUAAAUAAAUCAGACUACAAUUAUCUGAUCUCAUG